ACUCUCGGCAACGGAUAUCUCGGCUCACGCAUCGAUGAAGAACGUAGCAAAAUGCGAUACUUGGUGUGAAUUGCAGAAUCCCGUGAACCAUCGAGUCUUUGAAGGCAAGUUGGGCCCAAAGCCAUUUGGUUGAGGGCACGUCUGCCUGGGCGUCACGCAUCGUAUCGC
rnacentral:rRNA from 1 species